rnacentral:lncRNA from 1 species
UAAUAAUGGACCACCAUUUUUUUUGGGGGGCAAUUGCUUAUAUAUCUUUGAAAAGUUUCCAACUUUUCGAUUUAUCCCUCUUAGAAGGCUAAUAUGGAAAAUACCCUUUCUACGUUCCAAUAUAUUUCUAAUAUACCCCUAGAAUUAAAACAUGUUAAUGAACUCUGUUAUUUCUGUAAAAUUACUAUUUUGCCCUUUCAAAUAUAUCCUUCCACCAUCACUGACUUUCUUAUUUGCCCUUAAAAUAAGGGGCACAAAAAGUAUUUUGACUUUUGGUAUUUUUCAAUAUACUCCUCUACCGUCACCAACAUUUCUUAUUUGCCCUUAAGUUAAGGGCAAAAUUGGCAUUUUAAUUUUUUUUAACUGUGGUAAAUAUUUAACUCACGUUUAACCCAAGUUAACUUAACAGGAGAUAACUGCGAGGGUAUUUUGCAAUAACGACGGAAUAUAUAAGGGAUAUUUUAAAAAGAAAAAAAAGUAGGAAUAAAUCGGAUAUUUUCAAACAUAUGAGGGGUAUAUAGGCAAUUAUUUCUUUUUUUGUUUUAUUGCUCUCUCUCUCUCUCUCUCUCUCUCUCUCUCUCUCUCUUGCUCUCUCUCUUUUUAUUUUGUCAAUCUCAUACAUUUUCAUAUUAUUUACAAUUAAAACAUGAUUCGUAUCGGAGGACUCGUUGCCUUUCCUCACUCUCUUGCACGCGCUUUCUCGCUCUGUCUCUCUCUGUUUUGUCAAUCUCAUACGCUUGCACAUUAUUUAUAAUUAAAAUAUAAUUCGUAUCGGAAAACUCGCUGUCUCAGAGAAAAAGUACCUCCGAAACCGACCAGCUGUCGAUGGUGCCAAAGAGUUAAGUUAUUUAACGCACACAUAAAAGAU